UUUGUGUGUUUCAGUUGUGUUUAUAAUAAAAUACGCUCAACUGGAGGUGAACGUGAAGCAGCGAAUAAAAUACGCUAAAAUGGAGUUUUACCAUGGGGUUGUUAGUAGUAUUGUAAUCUCAAUUAAUUUUAUGAAGUAGAAAUUACUGUCUUCUUGAAGUAUAGGUGAUGUAAUUCAGAGGGUAGAUGAUUGUUGACAUACGUUGUGUUUCUGUACUGAAAUAAAAAUAUUUUAAUGCAUCCAUUUCAUUAAAAUCCACUGCCUUCUCACUCAUGGCACAGACAGAAUUAAUACAAAGGCAUGCUAGAUGUCGAUCAGUGGAUCUUAAUGAUGGGACUGUACAAGUUGAAAUUAUGGCUCCAGGUCUAAAACCUGGCAAAGAUGACCACCAUCCAAAAAAUGGGACAGUGUUUUUUGAUUGGCUCAACAGUUGUCGGGGAUUUGACAUAAGGAUUACAGUAGAAGACAAAAAAGCAAAAAAAAACACUGAGUUUAUAAUGAUAGUCAAGAAAAUGCCUGGGAAAAUUAUCAAAACAAGCUCCGCAUGGCAUGUUGAGAAAGAUAAAGUAGUAAUCAAGAUGAAAAAAGCCGAGAAUAUAUCAUGGUUAGAAAAACUCCAAGCUAAAGGAAUAGACAUGGGUAGCAGCAGUAGUGAGGAAGAUUAAAUACUAUGUAAGUGUAAGUAGGCAUAACUGACUGGGAACACCUUGCAAAAGAUGGAUCAGGCUGGAGAUGUGGCAUUCAAACUGGGCUUACCUUACAUGCAAAAGGUCUGAUCAGACUUCAGACUACCACAAUUCUUUGCUCAUCCCUGCACAGGAUGAUAACUUGAGAACAGACAUGAGGUCUACAUGAAGUGCUGCAAAAUCACAAACUACUUAUGGUUUUUAAGAAUAUUUUAUACCAAUCAAAGUUGACGUUUUAAUUUUUUUUUUUUAAUUUUUCUAUAGAAUGUAGUAUGAAUGUUUUAUGUGCUAUUUUUUUCAAAGCUACUAAAUUAUUAUUUUUUACAUUUACUUUUUGUAACAAUACGUAGAUGUCGAUGCGACAAUAUGUUGUUGUUGAGAGUUCCUUCUUUCAAGAAUAGACCAUAGACUGCUGUUCAUUUUAUAACUUUAUUUACAACAGCAAAGAAUACACUUCAUUCAGUAAUCAAAACAUUUCAAGUCCUAACCGUCAACACACAUAGCUUCCCCUUGCAUUCAUGUAUGUGGUCCCACGAACAUCUCAUAUACCCGAUUAUAUAGCCCUACAUUCACUCCCUUCAGUCAGUGAGCGAUUUCCACGAAGCAUACAAAAUACAUAAUACAGUGAUUGAUUGCUCACGCAUUCACUUCCGUUGGCCAGGUAUUCAACUCUCAAACACGUUUCACUCGAAAUACAAUUCACCAAAUAGCUUGUUACACUUUUUAACAGAUCCUCCUUGCCUAAAAAAAAAUACUGUACUCUACUUUUUAACUGUACUUUACUUUUAACUCUACUUUACUUUUUACUAACAUACUUCAAGGUUUCUCUAAUAAAACGGAUAUAUAAUCUGUAAUAGAAAAUACAAAUCCAGACUACAAAAAUAUACACUCUGCAAAACAUAGAUUUAAGAUUGUUUUUUUGUGUUUUUCAAAAGUAGAUGUUUAAGUUUAAGAUAGCUCAUUCCAUUUUAUGUGUAUCUUUUUAUAAAAUGUAGUAUAAAUGUUAUAUGUGUCAAAAAUUGUUGUCAAAUUUAUUAAGUACAUUUUUUUUACAUUUACUUUUUGACAGAUCCUUCAUGCCUCAAAAAGAUACUGUAUUUUACUUUUUCUUCUUCAUUCUUCAUUUUAAUGCUGGAUAUAAUUUCCUCCAACACCAUCACUUAUUACAUGUCAUCUUUUUAUGCGCCAUACAAUUUCAGCCUGCCUUUAUUUUGAAUUUGUUUCCUUAGCCUUUGUCCAUCUUAGAAAAAACUACAGGGUAGCAGUUAUUGAUUCUGGAGUUUUCUCUCCAAGAUGGGUUGCUGUUCCCAGGUAUCAGGCCUUAUCUGCCUGGGAAUUUUUAACUCAGGACUGUUCAGUUAAGCAACCAUGAGCAUUACCGACCUGACCUCGCUGACCCCUACUUUACUUUUUAAUAUAAAUCUUUCAUUUCUAUACUUCUAAACAGAUGCUGCUCUAAGUUUUUCAAUAUACAUCUGUCAUGUCAUGGAAAAGCUAUUGUUCAUCACUUUUUACUAUACGUCUAAUGUUUAUUUUAUGUAUAUAUUUAGUGUAAAUAUAAUUUCAUUUUUCUGAAAUAAGUGCAUAACAACUUCAAUGCAAUUAAGCCAUGUAAAGCCAUCAUCCUCGUGUAUUUUAGUUUUUAAAAUACUUUUAUAAAAUAUUUAUAAUAUUUUUUAAUUCUACAGCAUUUUUGUACUUUCACUUUCAUGCACAAAACAAUUUGGCUGUAAAUUAUUUUCUCAUAGUUUUCACUUUUGUAUGUUCCACUUAAUUUGUCUUUUUUGACUUGUUUUAUACAAUUGUGUUGAAGCAAUUAAAUAAUGCUUAAAAUGUGUUUCCGUCAUUGUAAAUUUUAAUAAACUUUGAACAUAUUUUUCUUACUGAAAAGUUGGUUAUAAAGAUUCAUUGACUAUGUGUUAUUAAAUACUCCAAUUAGAUAAACAAAAAUAUCUUCUACUUUUAAAGAUUGGCUACCACAGGAAGAUCAUAAAUGAUCAUAAAUGAGUAUCAGGUAGUGAGAAUGAAAGCAAGCAUUUUAAUACAUCCUGUACUGUAUAUCUAAAGUAAGGGUAAGAAAGUGUGAUGUCACAUCACUGGAAUUUUUUUUUUUUUGUACACCGACAAAAUGACCUGUUCAAAAGAGCCCAGACAUUUAGGCUCAUGUCAUAUUUGUCAGGAGCCUAUAUGAUGGAAGCUUAUAUGACAGGGUUAAUUUGUCGCCUGCCGUUUUUAUGAGGUCAGUUUCAUGGGGCUCUUAAUGAACAUAAGAGUCUUAUGUUUGGGCCGUUUUGAA